rnacentral:lncRNA from 1 species
UGAAGGCACGUUCCAUGCACACGUUAUUUAUUGUGAGAUCAGCGUGCGAUUACAACACAGCCAGCUGUAUUCUGAGAACAGGCGGCUUGCGACCAGAGAGCCGCGCCUUGAAGCCCAUCACCUCCUCGCCCACAUGCGUUUCCCGUCAGAUCUGAAAGGCGACAAGGGGAGAAAGACAAGCCCAUCCAUCAGCCUGCACCUCUGGGGCCUACGUGGCCCAGAGUUCUCCGAACUCGUCCAGUGUCCACAGCCCAGCAACACGCAUGAGGGCUGAAGAAAGAGAGAAAUACCGUUCCCUGGGACAGCGACGUGGACCAGCCCCACCGAUUCCCUCCCCGCCCGGGUAACUCACUCCAUGCUGUGUCCUUGGCCUCCUCUGACGUUACGAAACCCAACCCUGCGCUUUUUUCUUUGCUGCCUUUUAAAGACAGAAGAACAGCUGACACUUCCCUUUCAGCCGGCACCGUCCUGGCAUGGGGAAAAAGCAGAUGGAGGCAAGUCAAUUGACAUGUUGACAAACCAGUGGAUCGGAAAAUAAAUCUACCCUGAUCAAGUCACAAAAGCACGGGGAAGGAGACGCCGGGGGCAGCGCGAAAUCCCGGGCACGGCUGCCUCCCGCCCCACGCCCAGGACCGGGAAGGGCCACGCAGCUGUGAUGUUUUUCUCUCCAAAGGGAAUUAAUCAUUUCCAGACGCCGGCCCAGCACCUGGUGCCCAAAGCCAUAGGCCUGGGAGCUGUGCAGGUCUUGCAGGCAGACGACACCACUUAGCGGACGCGAUUUCUUCCCUGGUCCCACUGCCUGGUGCGUGCAGAGAAACUACUCCCAAGUGGGAAGUGAGUGGCUUGUUGAGGCUUGGGACAAAGCUCAGGGGUGUCCCAGGUGAACCCCCUUCUCUAAAACAAGCAGGUCCCUCCCUGCUCCGACACUGAAAUGACAUCACGGGGCACUGAGGACGUGAGGCCCGUCCCCGGCUGCUGCAGUGCAGUGCCACCUGCAGGCCGUGUGGCCUGAGCAGGCUGUGCCAUCUCCAGGCCUGCAGUCUCUCGUCUGUAGGAAGAGGAUGAUCAGUAGCCCAGCCUUGGAGGGCCUAUGACCAUGUCUGAUGUUCAGGGAAUGAAGAAGUGAAGAAAGCAGGAAUGAAUGAAGGAAGGAAGCAGCCCCAGCAAUUGGUUCCCAGGCGAGAAGCUGGUGGGGUUCUGACUUCUAUCCCGAUUCACACCCUUUUCUCCUGCCCUCAGGGCGGUCCU